UGAGUGCGAGCUGCUACGGCAGCGAAGUUGGUGACGUCAAGCUUCCAAGAAAAGCCCUAUACCCGUUAAGGCAUCAUGGCCUGUACCCGAAACCGACACAGGUGGGGUGGUAGAGAAUACCGAGGGGCGCGAGGUAACUCUCUCUAAGGAACUCGGCAAAAUGGCCCCGUAACUUCGGGAGAAGGGGUGCCACCGCAAGGUGGUCGCAGUGAAGAGGCCCAGGCGACUGUUUACCAAAAACACAGGACUCCGCUAAGUCGCAAGACGAUGUAUGGGGGCUGACGCCUGCCCAGUGCCGGAAGGUUAAGGAAGCUGGUCAGCGCAAGCGAAGCUGGCGACUGAAGCCCCGGUGAACGGCGGCCGUAACAAUAACGGUCCUAAGGUAGCGAAAUUCCUUGUCGGGACAGUUCCGACCCGCACGAAAGGCGUAACGAUCUGGGCGCUGUCUCGGAGAGAGGCUCGGCGAAAUAGAAUUGUCUGUGAAGAUGCGGACUACGUGCACCCGGACAGAAAGACCCUAUGAAGCUUUACUGUAGCUUGGUAUUGUGCCCGGGCUCUGAAUGCGCAGGAUAGGUGGGAGGCUCUGAUCAUCGGCUUGCGGGUCGAUGUGAGCCAACGGUGAGAUACCACUCUUUCAGAGCUAGGGUUCUAACAGUCACCCGUUAUCCGGGGACUGGACAGUAUCAGGUGGGCAGUUUGACUGGGGCGGUCGCCUCCUAAAGGUAACGGAGGCGCGCAAAGGUCUGCUCAGGCUGGUUGGAAAUCAGCCGACGAGUGUAAAAGCAGAAGCAGGCUUGACUGUGAGACCUACAAGUCGAACAGGGAGGAAACUCGGCUUUAGUGAUCCGACGGUUCUGCGUGGAAGGGCCGUCGCUCAACGGAUAAAAGUUACUCUAGGAUAACAGGCUGAUCUCCCCCAAGAGUUCACAUCGACGGGGAGGUUUGGCACCUUGAUGUCGGCUCAUCGCAACCUGGGGCUGAAGUCGGUCCCAAGGGUUGGGCUGUUCGCCCAUUAAAGCGGUACGCGAGCUGGGUUCAGAACGUCGUGAGACAGUUCGGUCCAUAUCCGGUGCAUGCGCAGGAAUAUUGAGAGGAGUUCUCCCUAGUACGAGAGGACCGGGAGGAACGCACCUCUGGUGUACCAGUUAUCGUGCCAACGGUAAACGCUGGGUAGCCAUGUGCGGAGAGGAUAACCGCUGAAAGCAUCUAAGUGGGAAGCCCACCUCAAGAUGAGUAUUCCCAUGGCGUUAGCCAGUAAGGUCACGGGAAGAACACCCGUUGAUAGGCUCUAUGUGGAAGCGCAGUAAUGCGUGAAGCAGAGGAGUACUAAUAGACCGAGGGCUUGACC
rnacentral:rRNA from 1 species